rnacentral:ncRNA from 1 species
ACGUCGCCCGGUGCGGCGUACGUGCUCCGCUCGUGGGGGCUCUGGUGGCGGGGGUGGUGCCGUGUCGGCGCAGCACCACCCCCGCGCC